rnacentral:snoRNA from 1 species
GCGUCCAUGCUAAACUGUGGCCAGAGAACCUUCCCACUCGGUCAUGGGUAGAAUGGCACGCAGAGUAACCCCAAGGUUUUAAUAUCCUAGUGCCUGAAGAUCACAAAGCCUCUUCUCGUUCUCCUGGAACUUAAAACCACA